UACGAAGGUGGCAAGCGUUGUUCGGAUUUACUGGGCGUACAGGGAGCGUAGGCGGUUGGAUAAGACCUCCGUGAAAUCUCCAGGCUUAACCUGGAAAGUGCAGAGGGGACUGUUCAGCUAGAGGAUGGGAGAGGAGCGCGGAAUUCCCGGUGUAGCGGUGAAAUGCGUAGAGAUCGGGAGGAAGGCCGGUGGCGAAGGCGGCGCUCUGGAACAUUUCUGACGCUGAGGCUCGAAAGCGUGGGGAGCAAACAGG
rnacentral:rRNA from 1 species